rnacentral:rRNA from 1 species
GUGUCAGCCGCCGCGGUAAUACGUAGGGAGCGAGCGUUGUCCGGAUUUAUUGGGCGUAAAGAGCUCGUAGGCGGCUUGGUAAGUCGGAUGUGAAAGCCCCAGGCUCAACCUGGAGUCGCCAUCCGAUACUGCCAUAGCUAGAGUCCGGUAGGGGCCCACGGAGCUCCUGGUGUAGCGGUGAAAUGCGCAGAUAUCAGGAAGAACACCGGUGGCGAAGGCGGUGGGCUGGGCUGGUACUGACGCUGAGGAGCGAAAGCGUGGGGAGCGAACAGGAUUAGAUACCCUAGUAGUCC